rnacentral:lncRNA from 1 species
GAUGGCAGUGGGGAGGGAGGAAGGAGACUUGGGCAGCCGACAGAGGGGGCCAUGUUUCUGCAGGUGAGGACUCCAUUAGCACCCUGGGCCUGAUCCUCGGCGUGGGACUCUCGUUGCUGCUUGUGUCCAUCCUGGGCUACAGCCUGGCCAAGUGGUACCAGCGUGGGUACUGCUGGGAGGUUUUUUAUAGAUGGAGCAAGAAGUCUGAAGUCACAGGGUUCAAGAGUGGUACAGUCUGGAUUCAAGCCCAGGUCUGCUUCUUUUGGGCUCUACACUAGGACUGCCUCUUUCCCAGGGCAAUUAGGGCAAAUCAUCCUUUAAGAAUCCCUUAAAGGCGGGGGAGGGGGGAUUCCUAGCCACAGGAUCUGCCCCGAAAAGCUGGUGGUUCUUUCUGGGAAGAUGGGCGUGUGGCAGGCAGAAGCCAAUGAAGGAGCUUGGGACCCUCCCACAGCAUCCUGAGGUCCAACCCAGCCACCUUGCUCCUCCCAGAUCGGGCGAGGGAGCACCAGAUAUUCCCAGAAACGUGAUGGACUGGUCUCCCUGGAGGUACUAACCCUCUCUUUUCUGAUUGUCUUUCUAGGGCCUAAUUUUGUCUUCAACUUGUACCAGAUCAGGUGAGUAGAUUCAGAGCAGAUCUGGGUGAGGUUAGGUAUGGAGCCCAAAUGCCCUGUUUCUC